rnacentral:lncRNA from 1 species
AGACUAGACAAUCAGAUAGACAUAAACCACUUGAAACCUUCAUUCACAACCCAACUGAGGCAAGCACAUCGCGACAAGGUGCGACUGCAGAUUCCACAACACAGACAUUAGUUUUCUCAGAGCCAAGACCUGACAAGUACCGCCAGCCUGGUAGGUGUAUUUAGAUACAGCGUAAUUAAGAUGAAGUAAAGAUCAUUAUAAGCAGUAAG